UACACUAGUGUGCACAUUGGUUUU
rnacentral:miRNA from 1 species